rnacentral:misc_RNA from 1 species
UUUCCGUAGGUGAACCUGCGGAAGGAUCAUUAAAAAUGAAGCCGGGAAACCGGUCCUUCUCACCCUUGAUUAUCUCAAAUUGUUGCUUUGGUGGGCCGCGCAAGCACCGGCUUCGGCUGGAUCGUGCCCGCCAGAGGACCACAACUCUGUAUUAUAUGCCGUCUGAGUACUAUAAAAUAGUUAAAACUUUCAACAACGGAUCUCUUGGUUCUG